GUACACACCCGCCCGUCGCUACUACCGAUUGAAUGAUUUAGUGAGUUUUGCGGAUUCCGUGUGUGGGUGUCAAAGCCUGUGCGUGGGAGAAGCAGCGCAAACUUGACCAUUUAGAGGAAGUAAAAGUCGUAACAAGGUAACCGUAGGUGAACCUGCAGAAGGAUCA
rnacentral:rRNA from 1 species